GACGAACGCUGACGGCGUGCUUAACACAUGCAAGUCGAAGGGAGUGGCGAACGGGUGAGUAACACGUGAGUAACCUGCCCUUUUCUUUUGGAUAAGCCUGGGAAACUGGGUCUAAUACUGGAUGGAUUGGGAGGGGCUCGCGGCUUAUCAGCUUGUUGGUGGGGUGAUGGGGUACCAAGGCUUUGACGGGUAGCCGGCCUGAGAGGGUGGGCGGUAACUCAGGGACUGGGAUGAGGCCCAGAGUCCUACGCGAGGCAGCAGUGGGGGAUAUUGCAGAAUGGACGAAAGACUGAUGCAGCGACGUCGUGUGGGGGAUGAAGGCCUUCGGGUUGUAAACUCCUUUCGCCCGCGGAAUGGUAGUGGGUAAAGAAGCGCCGGCUAACUACGUGCCAGCAGCCGCGGUAAUAC
rnacentral:rRNA from 1 species